CUCGUAGGCGGUCUGUCGCGUCGGUCGUGAAAACUUGGGGCUUAACCCUGAGCUUGCGGUCGAUACGGGCAUGACUGGAGUUCGGCAGGGGAGACUGGAAUUCCUGGUGUAGCGGUGAAAUGCGCAGAUAUCAGGAGGAACACCGGUGGCGAAGGCGGGUCUCUGGGCCGAUACUGACGCUGAGGAGCGAAAGCGUGGGGAGCGAACAGGAUUAGAUACCCUGGUAGUCCACGCCGUAAACGGUGGGCGCUAGGUGUGGGGGCCAUUCCACGGUCUCUGUGCCGCAGCUAACGCAUUAAGCGCCCCGCCUGGGGAGUACGGCCGCAAGGCUAAA
rnacentral:rRNA from 1 species